GUUAUUAUUAACAAAUUGUGCAUCACGUGGAAUGCAUCAGGAGAUGGAAUAUACAAGCAACAGAACCUACCGGCGCCGUAAUAAGUCAGUGACUUCUUUCAGACUGAGAGCCAUGGCGUAACCAUAGUAACAGUCUGAUGUUUAGACAAGGCUGACGUCAUCUGUGGGGAUGGGAUUGACUCAGUGCAGAAUCACAGAAGAGAUCUUCAGGUGUAGAUGGAUCUGAGACAGUGUGGAGGUGAUCCCCAGAGGUGGAAUAGGCUUGGACCUCCCCCUGUCCAGGAGAGACAGACCGCCCCACAGGACUUACGUUGACCUCCACCCUAGGCUGGGCCUGUGGAGAGCCACCACGGCCCCCUGGUGCUCCUCUGUCCUCCUCUGUGGUGGUGGGGGCAGGACGACCUGUUACAAAAGCAGGGGGCCGUACACACUUCUAUCCAGGGGCUGCAGCUUGUGGGAGCAGUGAGGAGGGAAGGAGAGCAGCACGACGCCAUUGGCUUUGCAGUAGUCCAUGCCCUGGAGUGAGAGGUGAGAGGCUUGAUUAUCCAGAAGCAGCAGUUGUGGAGACUCUGGGGACGCCCUGGUGUACUUCACAAAAUGUUGCAAGAAGGCCAGGAAGUCAUUCUCCUGCAUCCAACCAGAACCACUAGCAGUGCCCAUGCAUCCUGUAGGCCCAUCACGUAGGAAGUGAUCAAGAUGUUGUUGGUCCGACCUGCUUCCUCCCUCUGUUGGCAAUGAUUUUGUUCGGCACUUGGACUGUUGUGGUGCUGGUCUCAUCCAUGUGCCACACAUCUUUGGCCUCAAAGUUGUGGCGGCCCAGAAUAGUAGAAAGGUUGUUGAAGAACUGAGACACGUUCGUUGCAUUGAAACUUGUCGCCCUCAACAGACUGGUGGCUUGAGGCUGGCGGAUGGAGAGGCCGGGGUGCCUUUUGAGGAAGGAGGUGAACCAGUCUUUCCCUGCCAUCUCCUUGGUAACCCAGGUCUCAGGGUACUUGCAGUGGUAGUGUUGGGCAAGCUGGUAUGCAAGUCUACGUACCUGAAAAGUAAAGGCAAUAUUAAUUAUGAACUGUCAUGAAUCUCUAUAUGAUCUUUUUAAAUCUUAUAGUUAGUCAUUUUUUUUAAUGCUAAUCAACCACCAGCACUAUUGUAAGCUUACCUCUUUAGGACUCAAUCCAAAGUAUAUUUCUGCAGCCCUCAACAGAUACUCUUUCAGAUGAUUCUCCUGCUCCUGACUAAACACUCUGUUGUGGGCUCUGUAUGCUGGCAGUCGGGCAUUGGCGCUAUCCUUUUUCCUCCGACAGUACCUAAACAGAGUAACAUGGCAUACGCCAUGUGCUUUCGCUGCACUCCUGACUGACUGGCCCCCUACCAGCACAUCUUGGGAGGCUCUCUCAAAUGUCUCUGGAUGAAACAGACCUCUGUCUGUGGUUCUGACCCUAACUCUGGGCAUGGGGAGUAUAUGAGUUUUUUUAUACGUGGUGCUGGCUUUAGUACCGGGUUUCCUUAAUGGUGAGUUGGGAUCCAAUGGUGGGCUUAUGUCAAAUCCUACUGGAUCGUUAAUUACGGCUGAGCUGUGACUGGAGACAUUGUCUUGAUUAUCUGGAGAGUCACUGGUAAUGUCAAGGUGGGUCACAGUGCCAAAAGGUUUGAGAUCCAAUUGUUUAGAGUCACGCUCUCUCUUCUCCAUAGUCUCAGUUUGGGGAAGACUUAAAAGUGAGUCCUCCUUACCGCAAUCACUUUUCACACAGGGAGGAGUGAAUAUGAACUCUAUGAUGUCAGCCUCCAGCCCUUGAAGCUGCCCUGCCUCCUGAGUGGUCCCGACUUCCUCCUCUUUAAUCUGCAUGGGCUCUGGGUCUCUUGUCCCCAGACUGGAGUUCCAUUUCUCCUGGUCACAUUGCUGCUGCACAGGGGUAACCUCCUCCUCGGAGACAGUAAGACACAAGGGGAGAGAGUGUAAUCUAUAUAGUUUUAUCUCCGGUCUGAUCCGCAGCAGUUUCCGUAGCCGGUCAUUCUCCUCUUUCGAUCGGGAAAUCUCCUCCUGGUACUCCGCUACGACUUUCUCUACUGCCCCCAUAAUCUCUACGGCAGCCAAUGUUAAACGCGUAUUAACAAACACACACAAAGACUGUAAUUUAGCCAUUUUUAGUGGACUGAAAGUUAGCUAUUCAGUUAGCUGCGUCUAAAAUACACACAGGGAAUGUGCAUAUUGCAAAAUAAAAACAAACCUCCCUCCAAUUCGACUUCCGUGUUGUCUUCUUCUUUUAUGUAUAUCAGCGGGUGUCAAGCCCCGAAACGGACAACAGCGCCGCAAGCUUGAUAGAGUUCUAAACUGGAAUAGAAUAACACAAUUAUUUUUUAUAGUGUGACAUGGCGAGUGGCAGUAGCUGAAUUUCCAUCCAGAUGCUCAUGCGAAUAUUCCAAAAUGAUAUGGUGUGUGGUCCUCCCACUACAAUUUGGGAAACCAUGCAGUUGAUUAGGCUACAGAUAAUAUAAGUUAUGAUGAACGUCACAGGGUAGUGAGUGUACGGUGAUCUUGAUUGCCUACUCCUUUACAAUAAAUAUUGAGGGUCUUAUUCUGGUGACAUGAUGAUCGAUGCUUGACUGCUGUUUGACAAAUAAAAAUCUAUAAUAAUCUCAUCAUGUAGACUAGCCUACCCGUACAGCCCAGCUGACCCUAGCUGGCAAUGGUUUGUUUGGGAUUUGCCUCUUGAUCUUUUUAGCAGCACAUUCACCACUCUGUCAAACGGCUAACUCCGCCCUCUCGCAGCACAGGCCAAGGGCCUGAGACAUACAAUGAACUACCCCAGCAUGGUCGGCUCUGAUGAAUGUGUUUGCCCGAUGCAAAAGGCCAUUUUUAAACCAUCUCGCGACCACUGCCUUGUCUAUAGACUUCCCCCAAACAAACAAAAACUGACUCUCGGAGAAUGAGUGCACAACUGGUAAAUAGUCCCUUAUAGAUAUGUCUGUCAGUCAGGUGGUUAUAGCUUCUAUUGCAGUAAUGUCAAAGGGCUCUGGCUAGUAUUACUUAGCCAGCUAGAAGGAUGAACCUAAUGUGAAAAGGUGCCUACCUCAACAGGAUAAAAAAAUACGCUACUAUAAUAGCUUUGCUUUACAGAGAGUAGGCUACUGAGAAAGACAGUGAUGUGGCGCUCAGUGGUGAGACUGAGGCAGGCUUCAAUGCAUGCAGGAGAAAGCAUUAUUUUUCUAUUUUAUUUUUUAUUUUUCUAUUUUCUCUGGCAAUGAACAGCUCUUUGUAGUGUCAUCAUGAAACUUUCAUUCCUAACCCCAGGAACAAAGGUUGUAUUAGACUACCUGUUAAGUUCACUUAGACCUUUCACACUACCCAUUGGGCUGUUGAGACUUAGAGAACGCUUCUGACAGCCGUCCUAUACCUUGUUAAGUCAUUUAUUGAUCUGUAAUAUUUUGCAUAGCUUUAUUAGAGCUUUAUUCCCUGUGUCAUACUAUUUUCUGUUCCCCCCACAGUGAGUUUUGGGGGGUUGGUGCACAACACAUUUCAGUGAUGUGACAGCUUUCUUCCUGAGCUCUCAGAUGACUCUGGGCCUCAUGGCAAUAGAAAGAUAUGUGUUUAUUUGCCACAGCAUCUACUACCUGAGCAUAAUAAUUUCCAGGCAUCUGCAGUUUGCCUUGGGGCUAAGCUGGGUUUUGAGUGUCAGUGUUGGUAGUGAUCAACCUGGGACAAGGUUCUGUUAACAAAGCCACUGCAGGACUGUUCUUGAACCUCGAAUUGUGGAAGGGUCUAUUUGUUUUAUUCCAGAGCAAAAUGUACUGUUCUUCGGCCCUCCCAGCCUCAUCUCGACUCUUUCAGUCAUCAUCAUCCGCUCCUGUUAUGGACACGUGUACAAGAAAGCACGCAGGGCUGCUGUGGUGAGCCAAGGUUACAUCUGAUGUGCCGGUAGCACUGUAGCCUUUUACCUCUGCAUGUUUCUACUACAGCUGCUGCCAUUCAUAUACUGUUGUAACGAUCGUUGUUUUCUUCAGAUGAGGGAUAGGAAGGAUCGGACCAAAACGCAGCGUGGUAAGUGGCCAUGUUAAUUUUAAUAAACAAACUGAACACUGCAAUAUCAAAAUAACAAAAGUGAAACAACGAAAAUCUAAACAGUUCUGACAGGUGAUACAAACACUAAACAGAAAAUAACUACCCACAAACACAGGUGGGAAGAGGCUACCUAAGUAUGGUUGUCAAUCAGAGACAACGAUAGACAGCUGCCUCUGAUUGGGAACCAUACCAGGCCAAACACAUAGAACUAGAAAACAUAGAACAAAAAACAUAGUAUGCCCACCCCAACUCACGCCCUGACCAAAUCAAAAUAGAGACAUAAAAAAGGAACUAAGGUCAGGACGUGACAACUGUCUAACCUCGACACUACUAAAUAAAAAAAUAAAAAUAAAAUAAAGUUGUAUUAGUCACAUGCGCCGAAUACAACAGCUGUAGACCUUACAGUGAAAUGCUUACCUACUAGCCCCUAACCAACAAUGCAGUAUAGAAGAAAAAAAAGGAAUUAGAAAUAAAAGAGAGAUUGAAGAGCAGCAGUAAAAUAACAAUAGUGAGACUAUAUACAGGGGGGUACCGGUACAGAGUCAAUGUACGGGGGCACCGUUUAGUCGAGGUAAUUGAGGUAAUAUGUACAGUUGAAGUCGGAAGUUUACAUACACUUAGGUUGGAGUCAUUAAAACUUGUUUUCAACCACUCAACAAAUUUCUUGUUAACAAACUAUAGUUUUGGCAAGUCGGUUAGGACAUCUACUUCGUGCAUGACAAGUAAUUUUUCCAACAAUUGUAUACAGACAGAUUAUUUCACAGAUUAUAAUUCACUGUAUCACAAUUCCAGUGGGUCAGAAGUUUACAUAUACUAAGUUGACUGUGCCUUUAAACAGCUUGGAAAAUUCCAGAAAAUGAUGUCAUGGCUUCAGAAGCUUCAGAUAGGCUAAUUGGCGUCACUGAAUCAAUUGGAAGUGUACCUGAGGAUAUAUUUCAAGGCCUACCUUCAAACUCAGUACCUCUUUGCUUGAAAUCAUGGGAAAAUCAAAAGAAAUCAGCCAAGACCUCAGAAAAAAAAAUUGUAGACCUCCACAAGUCUAGUUCAUCCUUGGGAGCAAUUUCCAAACACCUGACGGUACCAUGUUCAUCUGUACAAACAAUAGUACGCAGGUAUAAACACGUGUUCUGUCUCCUAGAGAUGAACGUACUUUGGUGCGAAAAGUGCAAAUCAAUCACAGAACAACAGCAAAGGACCUUGUGAAGAUGCUGGAGGAAACAGGUAUAAAAGUAUCUAUAUCCACAGUAAAACGAGUCCUAUAUUGACAUAACCUGAAAGGCCGGUCAGCAAGGAAGAAGCCACUGCUCCAAAACCGCCAUAAAAAAAGCCAGACUACGGUUUACAACUGCACAUGGGGACAAAGAUUGUACUUUUUGGAGAAAUGUCCUGUGGUCAGAUGAAACAAAAAUAGAACUGUUUGGCCAUAAUGACCAUCGUUAUGUUUGGAGGAAAAAGGGGGAGGCUUGCAAGCCGAAGAACACCAUCCCAACCGUGAAGCACGGGGGUGGCAGCAUCAUGUUGUGUGUGUGCUUUGCUGCAGGAGGGACUGGUGCACUUCACAAAUAGAUGGCAUCAUGAGGACGGAAAAUUAUGUGGCUAUAUUGAAGCAACAUCUCAAGACAUCAGUCAGGAAGAUAAAGCUUGGUCGCAAAUGGGUCUUCCAAAUGGACAAUGACCCCAAGCAUACUUCCAAAGUUGUGGCAAAAUGGCUUAAGGAUAACAAAGUCAAGGUAUCGGAGUGGCCAUCACAAAGCCCUGACUUUAAUCCUAUUGAGAAUUUGUGGGCAGAACUGAAAAAGUGUGUGCGAGCAAGGAGGCCUACUGACCUGACUCAGUUACACCAGCUCUGUCAGGAGGAUUGGGACAAAAUUAACCCAACUUAUUGUGGGAAGCUUGUGGAAGGCUACCCGAAACAUUUGACCCAAGUUAAACAAUUUAAAGACAAUGCUACCAAAUACUAAUUGAGUGUAUGUAAACUUAUGACCCACUGAGAAUGUGAUGAAAGAAAUAAAAGCUGAAAUAAAUCAUUCUCUCUACUAUUAUUCGGACAUUUCACAUUCUUAAAAUAAAGUGGUGAUCCUAACUGACCUAAGACAGGGAUUUUUUACUAGGAUGAAAUGUCAGGAAUUGUGAAAAACUGAGUUUAAAUGAAUUUGGCCAAGGUGUAUGUAAAUUUCCAACUUCAAAUGUAUGUGAUCCAACUGUUAAGUUGAAUGUUUUAUCAAAAUGUACACAUAUAAUGUCUGAGGGACAUAAAAGGCACUCUAGUUGUGCAUGGAACGACCCAUUGAGUGAAAUAUUUCUUUUUUUAAUGUGUUAUGAUAAUUACUUUUGUUCUGUUAAUUAAUGUGCUUGCUUCAGCAAGAACACUGCUGCACUAACCCAUGUUUAUUUUUUAUUUUUUAAAGCUCUAGCUCUUAAAAGGCCGUAUGCAGCCGUUUCUUUGCUAGGACUGUCUGGGAGUGGUGUGAGUGGAAGGGAUAUGUCAUCUCAAAACGAGCUGUUAUUGGCAGAGAUGUUUGGAACUCUCUUUGUAAGUGAGGGGAAUCGAUUAUCUGGGGUUGGUUACCCCGGUGUGAGGAGAUCACCAGGUUAAAAGUGAUUGCAUUCGUUUUGGAACCGGGCUGCCUCCCGGGCGUGAGACAGGUGCCCCAUUCUACGCCCACGGCGAAAUCGACUCAAAACAAAAGUGACGUAGCCUAGGCUAGAUUAAGAAUGUAGAGUAAUGAGUAGGAGUCUGUGAUUUCACAUGCAAAGUGAUUGCUCUUAUAAAAUGCUUUAUUUGCCUUCCCAAUAAAACUAGUUUGAAAAUUCAAACAUAUUUUAUGGAAAAGAUAUGUAUUUUUCUGGAUGAUGUUGACCGGAGCACCGCGGCUCAGGUUAAUAGAACUCCCUCAUUGAUCUGUAUUAACUUAUACCGCCUGGUGAUGUCACCAGGCACGCUAAACUCCACCAAUGCGAAACCUGCUGAUUAGAAGGUCCUAUGUAGAUUGUAUUUUCAUCCAGCAACUAUCAGGAAAUAACACUGAUUAAAUGUUUUCGUUUUUUUACAGUGGUAGUUUAAUCAGCUGUUGUACAAUAUGAUACAAAACACAGGAAAAAAAAUUAUUUUCCCUUCAUAUACUGAUUUCCACCAAUCACCAGUCAUCGCUACCAGUUUCCUGCAGGGGUGGGACUUCCUUCUCCAAAAGCCUUAAGUAGCCUCACCUGCUCCUAAUCAAGGUGGUUACGAAUUGGCUGGAAGCUUUUACAAAUUAAAUUGUCAUUUUUGAAGAAUGUGUUUAAAUGUGUAGUUUAGACCUAUGACCUUGAAGUUAUUGAUUUAAGUCCAUUUGUUCUUUCCUUUAUACGUAUGCAUUUGGUGUUGAACAUUUCCUUGUGUUUAUCAAUAUAUGUUCCUAUGUUUGUUCAUUCCAUGUGCUUUCCCAGCUGGGCUUAAGUUGUAAAACUCAAUCAUUUAUCCUUUGUUUAUGAUGGUUUGCCAUUUGCUUCAAUAACCUUGUUUGAUUUGAGGUAAUCUCAUUCAUACUUUAUACAGUCUUCAUGUUGAUACUAGUUUAUGUAGAUACUAUUUUAUACAGUCUUCAUUUUGAUACUAUUUUAAACAGUCUUCAUGUUGAUACUAAUUUAUACAGUCUUCAUGUUGAUACUAGUUAGUACAGUCUUAAUGUUGAUACUAGUUAGUGCAGUCUUAAUGUUGAUACUAGUUAAUACAGUUUUAAUGCUGAUACUAGUUAGUACAGUCUUAAUGUUGAUACUAGUUAGUACAGUCUUAAUGUUGAUACUAGUUUAUUGUCUUAAUGUUGAUACUAGUUAGUACAGUCUUAAUGUUGAUACUAGUUAGUACAGUCUUAAUGUUGAUACUAGUUAGUACAGUCUUAAUGUUGAUACUAGUUAGUUAGUAUGGUCUUCAUGUUGAUACUAGUUAGUACAGUCUUAAUGUUGAUACUAGUUAGUACAGUCUUAAUGUUGAUACUAGUUAGUACAGUCUUAAUGUUGAUACUAGUUAGUACAGUCUUAAUGUUGAUACUAGUUAGUACGGUCUUAAUGUUGAUACUAGUUAGUACAGUCUUAAUGUUGAUACUAGUUUAUUGUCUUAAUGUUGAUACUAGUUAGUACAGUCUUAAUGUUGAUACUAGUUAGUACAGACUUAAUGUUGAUACUAGUUAGUACGGUCUUCAUGUUGAUACUAGUUAGUACGGUUUUCAUGUUGAUACUAGUUAGUACAGUCUUAAUGUUGAUACUAGUUAGUACAGUCUUAAUGUUGAUACUAGUUAGUACAGUCUUAAUGUUGAUACUAGUUAGUACAGUCUUAAUGUUGAUACUAGUUAGUUAGUACGGUCUUCAUGUUGAUACUAGUUAGUACAGUCUUAAUGUUGAUACUAGUUUAUAGUCUUAAUGUUGAUACUAGUUCAUUGUCUUAAUGUUGAUACUAGUUUAUAGUCUUAAUGUUGAUACUAGUAUAUGCAGUCUUGAUAUUGAUACUAGUUCUUUCCUAUGUUGUUUAUUUGCAGAUGCCAUCCAAUGUCAUUUUAACCAUGACCUAAAUAAAAGGUCAACUGAGAACUGAAAAAGGUCUUGGUGUCCUUAGACACUCCACUGUGAAGAACUCCAUCCUAUGUCCUAAUACAGCAGACUGUGACACCUUUCUGGUUACACAGUGUGAAACAAAGGACUGCACAAAUUUGGAAAUCUUCUUUACAAGCCAGAAUGUUGAAUAAAAUUACAUUUUCACUUACUCUA